rnacentral:rRNA from 1 species
AGAGUUUGAUCCUGGCUCAGAACGAACAUUAGCGGCGCGCCUAACACAUGCAAGUCGCACGAGAAAGGGCUUCGGCCCCAGUAAAGUGGCGCACGGGUGAGUAACACGUGGGUAACCAACCCUAGAGCGGGGGACAACGUUCCGAAAGGAGCGCUAAUACCGCGUAAGACCACGAUCCUAUAAAGGGGUUGAGGUAAAAGCAGGCCUCUUCUUGAAAGCUUGCACUCUGGGACGGGCCCGCGCCCCAUCAGCUAGUUGGUAGGGUAAUGGCCUACCAAGGCUUAGACGGGUAACUGGUCUGAGAGGAUGAUCAGUCACACUGGAACUGAGACACGGUCCAGACUCCUACGGGAGGCAGCAGUGGGGAAUCUUGCGCAAUGGGCGAAAGCCUGACGCAGCGACGCCGCGUGAGUGAUGAAGGCCUUCGGGUUGUAAAGCUCUGUGGGGAGGAAAGAAUAAGUGUGUUCUAAUCAGCACAUGAUGACGGUACCUCCUUAGCAAGCACCGGCUAACUCUGUGCCAGCAGCCGCGGUAAGACAGAGGGUGCAAACGUUGUUCGGAAUUACUGGGCGUAAAGCGUGUGUAGGCGGUGAGGUAAGUCGGAUGUGAAAGCCCAGGGCUCAACCCUGGAAGUGCACUCGAUACUGCUUCGCUUGAGUACUGGAGAGGUUGGUGGAAUUCUCGGUGUAGAGGUGAAAUUCGUAGAUAUCGAGAGGAACAUCUGUGGCGAAGGCGGCCAACUGGACAGAUACUGACGCUGAGACACGAAAGUGUGGGGAGCAAACAGGAUUAGAUACCCUGGUAGUCCACACCGUAAACGAUGGGUGCUAGAUGUCACGAGCUUUGACUCUCGUGGUGUCGUAGCUAACGCAUUAAGCACCCCGCCUGGGAGGUACGGUCGCAAGACUAAAACUCAAAGGAAUUGACGGGGGCCCGCACAAGCGGUGGAGCAUGUGGUUUAAUUCGACGCAACGCGAAGAACCUUACCUAGGCUAGAAAAUGUAGGAACCUGGGAGAAGUCUCGGGGUGCUCUUCGGAGAACCUGCAGUUAGGUGCUGCAUGGCUGUCGUCAGCUCGUGUCGUGAGAUGUUGGGUUAGGUCCCGCAACGAGCGCAACCCCUAUCUUUAGCUACCAGCGGGUCAUGCCGGGGACUCUAAAGAGACCGCCGAUAUUCAAAUCGGAGGAAGGUGGGGAUGACGUCAAGUCAUCAUGGCCCUUAUGUCUAGGGCUACACACGUGCUACAAUGGUCGGUACAAAGCGCUGCAAACUCGCGAGAGCUAGCCAAUCGCAAAAAACCGGCCUCAGUACAGAUAGGAGUCUGCAACUCGACUCCUUGAAGUUGGAAUCGCUAGUAAUCCCUGAUCAGCAGGCAGGGGUGAAUACGUUCCCGGGCCUUGUACACACCGCCCGUCACACCAUGGGAGUCGUUUGCUCCAGAAGCACCUACGCCAACCCGCAAGGGAGGUAGGGUUCCAAGGAGUGAAUGGUAACUGGGGUGAAGUCGUAACAAGGUA